UGGUUCCAGUACCGUGCAGUGCUCCUUGACCCUCCUGUCCAAAGCCAUCACUGUGAAGUUUGUUUCAAUGAGAAAAGGGCAAGAGUUGAAAACUUUUAUCUACACAGAAUCUGCACACAAAUGUUUAUAGCAGGUUUAUGCAUAAUUGCAAAAACUCAGAAGCAAACAAGAUGUCCUUCAAUGGAUGAAUGGGUAAGCAAACUGUGAUACAUCCAGAUAAUGGAAUAUUACUGUCGUUGAUGGAAAUAAUCAAUAAACAAUCUAUAAUAGGAAUGGAAAAGAGUUUCAUUUGAGCCACACUGAGGACUGUAGCCCAGAAGACAGCCUCUCAGACAUCUCUGAGGACCUGCUCUGGAGAAGUAUGGUUUUCACCAUAGUUUUAUAUCUUGUCAGAAUAAAAGAACAUCAAACAAGUCAGAGAUGGAUUCCUUCAAGUUUUCAGAAAAACAGAUCAGCACGUACACAACUAGUCAGCAUGGCCUUGGCACCUGGGAAAGAAGUCUUAUCAUCAAAGGAGUACCAUCAUCGGCAUCCAAGGAAGGGAGACAUUAAACUUUAUUUUUAACAGGGACAUUCUUUACUUCUGGUCAAGGUGCCCUUUUCUUUAAAGCAGAUGUACAAUGUCUGUUUGAUAGGCCUCAAACAGGCUGUUUUCAUUAGCAUAAAAUUCAAGUUAAAUUGUGUAUAAGCCAGCAUGACUUUCCCUGUACCUCAAUAUGUGAAAAUUUCUUUCAUCAUUAUUCAAUGCUAAAAAGAAAUCAAGCUAUCAAGCCAGGAAAAGAGAUGGAGGAAACUUAUAUGCAUAUCGUUAAGUGAAAGAAGCCAGUCAGAAAAGCCUACAUGCUAUAUGAUUCCAACUAUAUGACACUCUGGAAAAGGUGACACCUCAUCUCAACAAAGAAUGCCAAGAGCGGGAUGAGCUUGGAGAGAAGAUUGGUGUUAGAGAUAACGAGCUUGGAGUGCAGUUCUCUUGAAGCACAUGAAAGAGCAGGACCCCAUGCUUGGGGAUCUGCAAGGAAUCUCUCUAAGGAAGUUGAUUAAGAAAUGAUCUUGUGGGACUUCCCUGGUGCUGCAGUGGAUAAGACUCUGCGCUCCCAAUGCAGGGGGCCCGGAUUCGAUCCCUGAUCUGGUAACUAGAGCCCACAUGCAUGCCGCA